UACUUAAUAUAUUGAUAUAAUCAAUAAAAUAGCAAGUUCUUUUUCAUUCAAGUGUGAUGUAUCCUUGAAUCAUCCAUAAAAUUAAUUUUGAUACAUAUUCUCAAAGAUAUUGAGAAUUAGAUACAUGUAUUUAAUUCCUAAAUGCUCCCGAUCAUAUGAUCAUCAUGAGGACAGUGAUAGAUCCGGAUAGACUGACACACAAAUCACUUUCUUUGAGAUAGAUGAGUCUCUAAUCUACUGUGUAAAGACACAGGAUGACAAGUACGGAUGGUUGUUAGAGAAUAACUAGUACUGAGCGUGACUAUACG
rnacentral:lncRNA from 1 species